UACGGGGGGGGCAAGCGUUGUUCGGAAUUACUGGGCGUAAAGGGCUCGCAGGCGGCCAACUAAGUCGGACGUGAAAUCCCCAGGCUCAACCUGGGAACUGCGUCCGAUACUGGAUGGCUUGAAUUCGGGAGAGGGAUGCAGAAUUCCAGGUGUAGCGGUGAAAUGCGUAGAUAUCUGGAGGAAUACCGGUGGCGAAGGCGGCAUCCUGGACCGACAUUGACGCUGAGGAGCGAAAGCUAGGGGAGCAAACGGG
rnacentral:rRNA from 1 species